rnacentral:rRNA from 1 species
CCUACGUGAGGCAGCAGUGAGGAAUAUUGGUCAAUGGGCGCGAGCCUGAACCAGCCAAGUAGCGUGAAGGAUGACUGCCCUACGGGUUGUAAACUUCUUUUAUAAAGGAAUAAAGUGAGGCCCGUGUGCCUUUUUGUAUGUACUUUAUGAAUAAGGAUCGGCUAACUCCGUGCCAGCAGCCGCGGUAAUACGGAGGAUCCGAGCGUUAUCCGGAUUUAUUGGGUUUAAAGGGAGCGUAGAUGGGUUGUUAAGUCAGUGGUGAAAGUUUGCGGCUCAACCGUAAAAUUGCAAUUGGUACUGGACGUCUUGAGGACAGUUGAGGUAGGCGGAAUGCGUGGUGUAGCGGUGAAAUGCUUAGAUAUCACGAAGAACUCCGAUUGCGAAGGCAGCUUACUAAACUGCCACUGACAUUGAUGCUCGAAAGUGUGGGUAUCAAACAGGAUUAGAUACCCCAGUAGUC